UAUUAUUCAAUUUCUAUGAGUUACAUUUGGUGGAAGGGACAAUUUUAAGAUUAAUUUAUUAUCUAUAAGGCAGACAUAUGUACAAGAAAAAAUGCAUUUCAAAGUCGAAAAGACAGAUUAGACAAAUUCCUCUGACAGGUGUAACUAUAAAGCAUGAGUAGUAUCAUGAGAGAAAUAUAAAACUUAUCAUAUUACCGACACUUCAUUGACUCAUAUCGUUAAAACAGAUUGAUUAGGCAUGUGAAGGAAAAACCACAGUAACAUUCUCAUAGCAUAGCAGGAUCAGAUUGAGGCACUAAUAAGAUAAAGGAAUUACCUCAACUCAGAAAACCAAAACAGGUGAAGUGUUCAUAAAUUACAAUAUAAAUUGCAAGGCAAGAGAAACAAAAUUUUAAAAAAAUAAAACAAAGUGUGAUAUGUUAAAGACAAUAACAAUAACAAUAAACCCCACAAACAAGAAGCAAUAGCAGUAGCUGAAGAUAAUUGCUACUGCCUCUGCAGCCAUGAAUUAUGGUCUCCAAAUUCAUCCCUAUACAUACAUUUUUCUCUCUCUCUCUCUGCAACCUAAUUUUUCUCUGCCAUUUUUAUUUCACAAGUGUAAUAUUCAUCAUAACAAUUGAAAUCAAUAUGGGAGAGACUUUCUUAUAUUACCUCAAUCCACUAUAACCUUUUCUUUGAUUUUCCAAUGACCCAUAAAUGAUCAUAAUCAUAAAUAAGAACAAACCCUUCUCUUUCUCUUUGAUGUUUAUACAUUAUUUUCCCUAUAGGCGAUGAGAAUCGCACAAUUGAGGAAGAGGGUACAUAAGAAAUGGUCACCAAAAUAAUAAAAAUGUGAACUUUAAUUCGUUGUUGAUAGAGGCAAAAGGGUUAGAUGAGACAAGUUCUUAAAAGAAUCAAUAAAAGGGUGGUGGAGGAGGUGAUGCAUAUGAGACUCCAAUAACAGGUGGUAAUGGCCCUUCAUAUACUGGGGCAGGUGGUGGAGAUUGUGGUCGUGGUGGCGGCGGCCAACUGUAAUGAACUGGUGAUGGUGGUGGCAGGUAAGGUGUUGUAUAUGGUGGUGGUGGGUGCUCUUCACAAGAUGUUGGAGGUGGAGGUGGGGGAGGGGAUGGUUCUAUACAAGGUGGUGGUGGAGAUGGUGGUGGUGGGGGAGAGUGAACUGGGGGUGGAGGUGGUGGAGACAAAUAGGGGUAAACUGGUGGUGGAGGUGAAUGAGGUGGUGGUGGUGGUGGAGGGGAGUG
rnacentral:lncRNA from 1 species